rnacentral:rRNA from 1 species
UACGUAGGGUGCGAGCGUUGUCCGGAAUUAUUGGGCCUAAAGAGCUUGUAGGCGGUUUGUCGCGUCUGCCGUGAAAAUCCGGGGCUCAACCCCGGACUUGCGGUGGGUACGGGCAGACUAGAGUGUGGUAGGGGAGACUGGAAUUCCUGGUGUAGCGGUGAAAUGCGCAGAUAUCAGGAGGAACACCGAUGGCGAAGGCAGGUCUCUGGGCCACUACUGACGCUGAGAAGCGAAAGCGUGGGGAGCGAACAGG